rnacentral:rRNA from 1 species
GACGAACGCUGGCGGCGUGCUUAACACAUGCAAGUCGAACGAUGAAGCCGGAGCUUGCUCUGGUGAAUUAGUGGCGAACGGGUGAGUAACACGUGAGUAACCUGCCCUUGACUCUGGGAUAACUGCUAGAAAUGGUAGCUAAUACCGGAUACGACCCUCGGCGGCAUCGCCAGGGGGUGGAAAGAAUUUCGGUCAAGGAUGGACUCGCGGCCUAUCAGCUAGUUGGUGAGGUAACGGCUCACCAAGGCGACGACGGGUAGCCGGCCUGAGAGGGUGACCGGCCACACUGGGACUGAGAUACGGCCCAGACUCCUACGGGAGGCAGCAGUGGGGAAUAUUGCACAAUGGGCGCAAGCCUGAUGCAGCGACGCCGCGUGAGGGAUGAAGGCCUUCGGGUUGUAAAGCUCUUUUGUCAGGGAAGAAACACCGGCUCUAACACAGUCUGGGAAUGACGGUACCUGAAGAAUAAGCACCGGCUAAC